CCUACGGGAGGCAGCAGUGAGGAAUAUUGGUCAAUGGACGUAAGGCUGAACCAGCCAAGCCGCGUGAAGGAAGACGGAUCUAUGGGUUGUAAACUUCUUUUAUAGGGGAAUAAAGGUAGCCACGUGUGGAGAUUUGCAUGUACCCUAUGAAUAAGCAUCGGCUAACUCCGUGCCAGCAGCCGCGGUAAUACGGAGGAUCCGAGCGUUAUCCGGAUUUAUUGGGUUUAAAGGGUGCGUAGGUUGUUUGUUAAGUCAGAGGUGAAAGUUUGUGGCUCAACCAUAAAAUUGCCGUUGAUACUGGAAGACUUGAGUGUGUUUGAGGUAGGCGGAAUGUGUGGUGUAGCGGUGAAAUGCAUAGAUAUCACGCAGAACACCGAUUGCGAAGGCAGCUUACUAAGCCAUAACUGACGCUGAAGCACGAAAGCGUGGGGAUCAAACAGGAUUAGAUACCCCGGUAGUC
rnacentral:rRNA from 1 species